AGACUGUUGAUGAUGUGGACAGUCUUGAAAAAAAGCUUUGAACCGCUCCUACGCAUGAUAUAAAUUCUCAUUUUACUUUUAUUUGAAGCACACAAUCUCACUACAAAGUCU